AAACAACCCAAGCGGAUAUUGGGCGCCUUACAAGAUCCACACGGGUCCGAACGAAGAGGCCAGUGAAAAAUUCGGAAUGCCAGACAGACUUGGAGUUGCCCGAUAUUUGACUUAUGGAGGAGAUGCAGCAACGUUCUUCAAUGGCAUUGCAAUCAAUCGGCAUUCUCUGACAUACAAGAUGACCGCUCUUAUAAAUCAUACAAGCCUACGGUGAAAAGCACAGCAGCACUCACUGCGGCAAGCAUCGGCAUGGACAUCGGGAGAAAGCUGUGAAAGGUGCAAUGUUGGAGAUGUGUACAGCAAAUAUGAGGGUGAUGCCAGCGGAUCAAAAACAAAACAAUUUUGUACCUGUACUUGAUCGCAUCCAGGCAGGCAGACACGCGUGGUCAGAUUCGUCUGAUGACGACAGUGUCGACGACGUGCAUCACGUUGCCAGGAGACCCAGCUGCGCGUUUUAGUGUCACUGGUUCCGCGAGGAUGAGAUGAACGUGCGAAAUGUAGCAGAUGGCUUGCCAAUGUCACCGGUUUGGUACUGCGCAUCAUGUUGCUAUCAGGCAAUACUUAUUUGCUUCCUCAUUCAGAGGUUUUCUCCCUCUCGGUGGGGAUUUUCGAAAUCGUGAAAUGAGCCUUGUAAAUUGUGUCAUAUUAAAUAUAUGGAGACUAUCGUGCAGUUGCUGGUUAUUAUCAGGGUCCCCGAUAAAUGGCCUUCCACGUAAAAUAACAAAAUUCUUGCGGAAGGUUUUAAUAUCUACACUCUUUUAAUGUUAAGGUGACUUAAACAGUGAAUUCUACCCUUACUGGGCAGCGGUUAAGUUCAGCGCCCAUAAUUCAUAAAUUACACCGUCCUCUUAUAAUCAAUGUUUUAAACGACUUGCAACAAGUGAUUAGUCAAACCAGCAAGGGCUGCAGGUAAGUAGGUGUAAAAAUUGUCUUACAAAAAUAAAAUGCUGUUAUUGCUUACCAAUCUGCCAAGCAAACAAAAUUUUACGAUCAUUAUAGUGAGACUCUCAAACUUGUGCUGAGGCACGUUCACCGAGAACAAAUAGUCUUAAGGGAUUGCACUCAAGAGGAGAAAACUUCCAGAAAAAUAAAAGCUGGCUGAAGCUCAUAGUUCGUACUACAGUUGAUCCCCACAAUAACGAAAUUGGUAGGGAAACUGAAAAUUUUCGCUAUCGUGAAAUAAUCCAGUUCAGAUGGGAAAAUGAUCAGCAAAAUGAAAACUUAUUGCCAAAACUCUGUUAACUUGGCUUGUCGACUGUUUCCAUAUAGUCAACAUACAGAUAUUCCUUCGCAAUGCAGCAUGUUGUGUUAUCCAACAUCCUCACCGUGUGUGCCGAGGAAUGCCCACAUCUUUUCGAAAGCGUCUAAGCCACGUGUUGAUGUAGCAAUGGCAAUCGCUCUUCCGUUGCUGCGCGGCUGCCGCAGAACACCGAGUGUGAUGCAAAGACAUUUGAGCGCAUUUUGGAGUAUGCCAACCGUGCCCGACCAGAAAACAUGAGGGGAGACAUCCUGUUGAUUUUUGUUAUUGUGGGAUUAGAGUUUAGCAACACUUCGUUGUCGAGAAAUACGAGAUGCAUUGAAUCCUAUGGGUGUUCAUCGGGGACUGGAAAUUAUUUCUUUGCUGCGUGAUUUCGUGAUUGUGAGUUUCGACAGCAUACUGAUGCCGUAAAUGAAGCUAUCAUUUCCUUAAAAAAAGUUACACCAUCUCCCACUAAAGGGAACCAUGAGGGGAUGCGAAGCAGCAUUGGGGGUGCACACCAAGUUUCUGUUACGUUCACUCGGCGUUUCCGUUAGUAUGUGAGGUUUGUAUUUAGUGUUUGUGUUAUCAUUACGUUGUGUUUGUACGUUGCUUUCCAUUAGCGCCGAGUGAACGUGUGGCGCCGACGUUGACGUUACACCUCAUCUGAAUGGGAGCGAAGCGAGAAUGACAGAAGCCGACCGAGCACACGCACUUGUAUACACAUGAAAUGGGGGAGGGAGAGGAGAGAGUGGGGUUACAGGCUGUAUUUAGCUGCGGCGCGGCUGCAUCACGUCGGAGGAGAGGCUGCGCCACGGCUGCAGCGCGGGGGAGGAGAGGAGAGAAGGCGACCGAACACCUGCGUAAAGGAGGAGUGAGAGAGAGAGAGUAGGCGCAUGCGCAGUGGAGCACGGACGCCACCGGAUCAAGCUCGCUCAUAAGAUGCUUCGCAUCUAAACGAAAGUUCGGCAGCAUGUGACACACUCUCCGUAACACUUGAAGGCAAAAAGCUGCUUCACACUUGGUUAUACAAUCAGAGAUCAAACCUCUUGCAAGGCAUAAUGAGCAGCAGUGUGAGAGACAUGCAAAGCAAGCAAGCCCGUACAGUGAGUAGUGCUGAAGCUUGAAAGUGUUUGACAGCCUUAUUAUUUUACUCUUCUGACAUGACAUCUGGACAUUCAAUAUUCUUUUGAGUAAAAGUAGUGGUUCAAUAAGUUUUGAAGUUGGUAAUACAGGAUAUGUUGCAACACCAAUGCCAAUAAUCAUGCAUCAUUCACAGGCUCCAGUUUUUAGCUGAGCAGUCAUUGUGCAAGAAAUGUUAUGUCAAAGCUUGACAUUAUGAAUAUGGAUAUAACGAAAUUGUCGGUUAUAACGGAGUCAUGUGGUGAGGUACUCAAUUCCCAACAUGUGGAGCAGAGUAGAUGGCCACACAACAUCUGCCUUUUCGGUGUAGUUCGGAUAAUGGAAAUUCCAGCGCUCAAAUGAGGGACUAGGAAAGAGGCGGGGUGCACACGGCACAUGAUUUAGUAUGUCUCUGCUAUCUCGCAUACCACCCAGCCCUUGCAAUUCAAAAGCAUCUUGCUGUUUAAUAACUCCACUGAACAACCGCAAUCUUACAAUCGUAAAGACUAGUUGGAUAAUGGCUGGCCCUUCAAGGAAGCUCAAUGUUCUCUCUGACACAUCCACCCAUCAUUCCGCAACCAAUGCAUUUAUUUCCAUUACAUGAAUUUACGCAGAUUACAUAUCCAGUGGACACUUUUAACCAUGCAUACGUACGCUCAGAAGUCCACCCAGUGUACGCAGAGAACUAUGCCUCUGAGUGUUGUGGCUGGGCAUUAGUUUUAGAUGGGCACUUCGGCAUGUGCCUGGCUAAUUCGCUCUUGCGCCAGAACUUCUUCAUGCAGAGGUCGCAGCCGAAGCGCCGCUCGGCUGUGUGUACCACUAGGUGAUCUUGGAGGUGGCACUUCACCUCCAAGGCCCUGGGGCACUGGAAAUGCCGGCCUUUCUCGUGUGUCAACCAAUGCCUCAUCAGCUCUACCUCGAAGACAAAAGCGGCGUUGCACUUGUCACACUUAAAGUGUGCACUCUUUUCGUGGGUGCACAGGUGCCUUGACAGCUGCGUACACAAGAGAAACCUGCAAAUCGACACAAGGUAUGCCGAGCAAUUAAAACCUGCGGUGAAGACGAGAGUGUAAAAUUCAAGGAACUUCCUGGAAAAAAAAAAGAAAUUCAAAGCCCUUCCGUUACUGUGAAGUGGGCCUAGUGUAUAUAUAUAUUACCAUUAUUGACUG